GUCUAUGGCCAUGCCACUCUGAAGGUGCUCAAUCUCGUCUGAUCUCGGAAGCUAAGCAGGGCCGGGCCUGGUUAGUACUUGGAUGGGAGACCACCUAGGAAGACCAGGUGCUGUAGGUG
rnacentral:rRNA from 1 species